rnacentral:rRNA from 1 species
GGCGGACGGGUGAGUAACGCGUGAGAAUCUGCCUUGGGGUCGGGGACAACCACUGGAAACGGUGGCUAAUACCGGAUAAGCCGAUUGGUGAAAGAUUUAUUGCCCGAAGAGGAGCUCGCGUCUGAUUAGCUAGUUGGUGAGGUAAGAGCUCACCAAGGCAGCGAUCAGUAGCUGGUCUGAGAGGACGAUCAGCCACACUGGGACUGAGACACGGCCCAG